rnacentral:rRNA from 1 species
CCUACGGGAGGCAGCAGUGGGGAAUAUUGGGCAAUGGAGGAAACUCUGACCCAGCGACGCCGCGUGCGGGAUGAAGGCCUUCGGGUUGUAAACCGCUUUCAGUAGGGAAGAAGCGAAAGUGACGGUACCUACAAAAGGAGCACCGGCUAACUAUGUGCCAGCAGCCGCGGUAAUACAUAGGGUGCAAGCGUUGUCCGGAAUUAUUGGGCGUAAAGAGCUCGUAGGUCGUUUGUUACGUCGGAUGUGAAAACCUGAGGCUCAACCUCAGGCCUGCAUUCGAUACGGGCAAACUAGAGUUUGGUAGGGGAGACUGGAAUUCCUGGUGUAGCGGUGGAAUGCGCAGAUAUCAGGAGGAACACCAAUGGCGAAGGCAGGUCUCUGGGCCAAUACUGACACUGAGGAGCGAAAGUCUGGGGAGCGAACAGGAUUAGAUACCCUGGUAGUCCAGACCGUAAACGGUGGGCACUAGUUGUGGGAACCUUCCACGGUUUCUGCGACGCAGCUAACGCAUUAAGUGCCCCGCCUGGGGAGUACGAUCGCAAGAUUAAAACUCAAAGGAAUUGACGGCUGAGACGNGCGAGCGACGACGAGGAGUAGG